rnacentral:rRNA from 1 species
UACAGAGGUCCCGAGCGUUGUUCGGAUUCAUUGGGCGUAAAGGGUGCGUAGGUGGUCCGUUAAGUUCGUUGUGAAAGCCCUGGGCUCAACCCAGGAACUGCUUCGAAUACUGGCGGACUUGAGGCUAGUAGAGGUCACUGGAACUGACGGUGGAGCGGUGAAAUGCGUAGAUAUCGUCAGGAACGCCAAUGGUGAAGACAGGUGACUGGGCUAGUUCUGACACUGAGGCACGAAAGCGUGGGGAUCAAACGGG